rnacentral:snRNA from 1 species
GGCAAAUGAUUACUUCCCAUAUACUAAAAUUGGAACGAUACAGAGAUUAGCAUGGCCCCUGAGCAAGGAUAACACGCAAAUCUGUGAAGCGUUCCUUAAAAAA